AACAAGAAAGAAAAAAGUAAGGUCCAGGCCCACAGUGUUUACCUGGUAGCCAUUUCUAGCUCAGUGCUGGCGUGUGCUGUAAGCUCAGCAAACUGUUUGAAUGGAUGAAAAAUUCACCAAGGCAGGACUGGACUCUGAGAAGAUCUCCACUCAGCUGCUCUGUCUGUAAGCUAAAGAUGUCUUGAAAAGGAAACAGCUGAAUAAUUCAUUUUCUAAUAAUGAACUGUGGAGCAACUUGAAAUCUAAGACCAAGGAGAGAAAUCACAGUUCCCAAAGGAAAGGAAAAGGCUUGCAGGCUAUACCAGGUGUCAUGAUGGUCUGGCCUCUGCUUCUGUGAGGUCCAUACCCAGUGACUCAGGCAAUAGAAGAAAUUGGGAGAAAAAAACAAAUAAACGUGUGUUGUAAACAUACA
rnacentral:lncRNA from 1 species